UGGGUAAAGACGAAGGCGGGUUCUGGACAGACUUACGCUGUCAGGGAGUGUUUACUUUGCCUCAACUUCUUUUCCUCCCCGCCCUGGUGCUGCUCCAGGUCACACACUCGUCCUGAGCCGGCUUCAGCCUCUCCGCACAGAAGUCUCCCGGAGCCAUGGCCUAGUACUCUUAUGUGAAGUCUACCAAGCUUGUGCUCAAGGGAACCAAGGCGAAGAGCUGGGUCCUGCAGCUCCAGCGGGAGCCUCCUCAGUUCUUUUCGGAUGCACUCCACCCCCGCGAAUCCGGUGGAAGCCGUGGUGCGGAGAGCAGGCUUCGUGGCCUCCCAGGUUUCGCGGCCUCCCAGGUUUCGCCCUGACCCUGUCUGGGCUGGACGGAGGCUGGACCGCGGUUCCUGGCGCCUGUGCAGAGAGGGGCAGCCUCCCGCGCGGACGACCCUGUUAACAGGAUAGAUGGGCGGGUGACCCGUGGCCCCGUACCCACGAGUUUGGGUCCGCUGAGGCAUCUCUCCCGGCCUCUGCCUGUAAGAAGAAAACGAGGAAAGAUAAGAAGAGAAAAAGAGAAGAAGAUGAAGAAACCCAGUUUGAUAUGUUGGAAUCUGGUGGACAUUAACAAACUUUGGUGAAAUUCCAGGAACCAUAGCCUUUGAAAUGGAUGAGGGAACCUAUAUACAUGCACUCGACAGUGGUCUUUUUACCCUGGGAGCUCCACACAGUGAAGAAUCGCCCUGAAUUCUGGCUAUGGAAAAUAUCUUGGUAUAAAUUCAGAUGAACUUGUUGUUGGGUGUUCAGAUGCAAUUGGACCAAAAGAACAAUGGGAACAAGUCUUUCAAAAUAUUAGAUCCUGUGCUGAAAGAGAAACCACGAAAAAAGAUGACAUUCAAGAAGAAGACAAAGGAAAUGUAAAACAAUGUGAAAUCAAUUAUGUAAAGAAAUUUCAGAGCUUCCAAGACCACAAACUUAAAAUAAGUAAAGAAGACAGUAAAAUUCUUAAAAAAGCUCAGAAAGAUGGAUUUUUGCAUGAGACGCUUCUGGACAGUACUCCAGGUCAUUCUGAAGCAAGUGAUAGAAACCACAGAAUGAGGAACACCACCUUCAAGAGACUGAUUCUUGCUUCCCAACACUAGCUUGGUAUCUGAGACCAUCUGCCUGCCGACUGGCUUUCCUGGCACAAACAUUCUGCAUGUAGGCACAGUGUGUUCCUGGACUCCAUGCCAACCCGUUCACCCUCAUGUUCCCUUGGUUCCUGUCCCCAGUCCAGCGAGCAGAACUGAUUACAGAUCUUGACAACAGAAGAUACAGAUUUAAAAUAACUUGCCUGUUCCCGUGGACUUUAUCCACUAGUGAAGGAGGACAAGUGGACAAGGGGAGAGGGUAGGUGGGGACUGCUUCCCUAUUCCUCCCAUUCCACUUUAUACAAACCGCAGCUAGACCACUGGGAGAACAACGGAGGUUAAGAAUGACUUCAUCUAAAUAUUGUCAUCUGGUCCACUCUUCUUCCAUCUUGUACACAAGGAUAUCAGGAGUUUUGUUUAAAGCACUACUGAAACCAAGAUAAACUCUGGCUUAGCAUGCCACUGACGGAUCAGUCUAGUAAUCUUAUCAAAACCAAGAUUACUUAAAAGCACUAACCAAAGGAAAAGCUCCCUCACCCCAACCUAUGACUGCUCACAUUUUUCAGAUUGAAUCAUUUCAAUUGUAUUUUAAGGUUCAUUGACUCUUUACCACCUCCAAGCUGCUCCUGAACACAACUGAUUAUUAUUUUUUAAUUUUGAAAACGUUCUCACUUCUAGAAUUUCCACUUGAGCCUUUGUUAUUAUUGUAGUUUCUUCUUCUCUGCUGUGAUUUCCUAUCCAUUUAUUUUAAGGGUUUUUGGGGUUUUGAUUUUAGUAAGAAUUACAAUAACUACUUUAAAAAUCCACACUAAUUCCAACAUCUGGGUCAUCUCGAGGUCAGUCUCUAUUGAUUGCCUUUUUCUUUGAAUAUGUUUCUUUAUACAUUUGUUAUAAUGGGAUUGAAUUCUGAAGAUUGUAAAACUAGAUUUUGUUUUGUUCCUCUGAAAAUUUUGAUAAUUUUUUGUUGUAUUUGUUGUAUUUUGUUUUUUUUUCUAUUGUAUACUUUACAAUAUAUUUUCCUCCAAUGGUUUUAACAUAUCUAUUUCUCAAAAUAUUUAUGUUUAUGUUAAAAAUUAUACAAAGUAGCCUGGUGCAGUGGCUCCUGUCUGUAAUCCCAGAACUUUUAGAGGCCAAGGCAAGAGGGUCACUCGAGCCCAGGAGUUGGAAACCAGCCUAGACAACAGGGCAAGACCCUGUCUCCACAAAAAAUUAUUAGGGUGGUACAAAAAGUAAUUGCAGGUUUUGCCGUUACUUUCAAUGGCAAACCCCGCAAUUACUCUUGCACCAACCUGAUAAAAAAUAAGCUGGGUAUGGUGGUGGCCUGUGCCUGUGGUCUCAGCUAUUUGGGAAGUGAAGGCAGAGGUGGGAGGAUUGCUUGAGCCCAGGAUUUCCAGACCAGUCUAAGACCCUGUCUCUGAGAAAAAAAAAAUAAAAUUAGCUGGGCCCACGUACCUGUGGUACUAGCUACUUGGGAGGCAAAGGCAAAGGUGCCAGAAUCACUUGAGCCCAGAAGCUCAAGGCUGCAGGGCAUUGUGAUUGUGCCACUGCACUCCAGCCUGGGUGAUGGAGCACGACCCUGACUCCAAAUAAUAAUAAUAAUUACAAGAAGGAAAGACCUAGAACACCAUGUUAGGGUUAAGUAUUCUAAAAUUUAGCUGACUUACACUGUUCUCUAUAAAACAGGUUGCCACAGAAAAUAUAGCAUGCCCAGUUAAUUUGAAAUUUCAGAUAAACAAAUACUUUUUUUAGUGUAAGUAUAUCCCAUGUAAUAUUUGGGACAUGGUUAUACUAAAAUAUUAUUGCUUGUUUAUCUGAAAUUGAAAUUUAACUGGGUAUUACAUAAUUAUAGCAGCCUGACCAUAAAAGAUGUAGGCUGAGCAAAAUUCUACUUUAAACUUCAAGCUUUAUACUAAAUGCAUUAUUAAUCAAGAAAUAUUAUUUACUGAGACCUGUGUAGAUCCCCAUAUUUAUCUUUUUAAAUGUGGAACUAGGAAAGCUACAUAAAAAAGCAUUUAUAGAAAUAAAUGACUGUUCUAUAGCUGAAAGGAAAACUCUAGCUUUUAUUUUUCUCCCCAAACUUAAGCUUUAUUCUACAUUUGUAUAAACAAUAAAAUUACAGCUCAACUUUGGAAGCACAAAUCAUAAUAUAAAAAUAAAGCAAAGAUCCCAGAAAUAUUUAACAGGCAACAAAUCUUUCACAUCAUCUUACUAUAGCAACUAAACAUAUAAUAACUUAGAAUGAUCCAUUAAUUAUAAGUAAAGAAUAAAUUCUUUUACAAAGCAUAACUAUUAAUAUUAUUGACCAUCAUAAGAGCAAAUAUUUUAAGUAAAACACCAUGAAUACUUUACAGAAAGGAGCGAGUUGCGACAGUCAUUCUUGGAUUUCUUUCAACAGCCGGCUUUCUUCCCUUUUGUCCUGAACUAGGAGUUGAAUAUUUUCUCUCUUUCCCCACUGACCCUCUAGUCUCUGAAGCAUCUUUUGUACUAGAGGUAUGUGGAGAGACUUCCUGGAAAUUUGGAUUUGUAAAUUGUGCUGUUGUAUCUUCUAGGCACGGCAGUGAUCCAGAUAUAGAGCCGUUGCUCUUGCUUCUAUAAGUGUAAUAUUUUGAUUCAAAAAAGGAAGUAAAAGGAAGAGAGUUGAUUACAUUUGGCUACUGACAUUAAUAAUAAUAAAUAAUAAUUGUACUUGUAAUAUAAACAUCCGAAAGUUUUAGUUAUAAGAAUGGCUGUCCACAU